rnacentral:rRNA from 1 species
CAAUAGCGUAUAUUAAAGUUGUUGCGGUUAAAAAGCUCGUAGUUGGAUUUCUACCGAAGACAGCCGGUCCACACUACGUGUGCGCAUCUGGUAUGACUUCGGUAUCCUCAUGGAGAACAGCUCUGCACUUCACUGUGUGGACUGGUAUUCAUGACUUUUACUUUGAGGAAAUUAGAGUGUUCACGGCAGGCAAUCGCCCUGAAUACAUUAGCAUGGAAUAAUAAUAUAGGACUUCGGCCCUAUUUUGUUGGUUUCUAGAGCUGAAGUAAUGAUUAAUAGGGACACUUGGGGGCAUUCGUAUUAUCACGUCAGAGGUGGAAUUCUUGGAUUGUGUUACGACGAACUACUGCGAAAGCAUUUGCCAAGGAUGUUUUCAUUGA